rnacentral:lncRNA from 10 species
CAAACCUUCCUCUUCAGGAGAAAGACAACAGAAGCCAACAGAAAGCUUCUUCCUAAAGAACUGUCUAUGAAUAUCUUAGAGGUAGACAACUGAUUUAAGAAGACCAAGGGGAUGAUUCUUCUGACAGCCAUAACCACAAGAUUUCAGAUUUUGGGCUCCAGUAAAACAUCAAAUCUACAAAAAUCACAACAUGGCCAGCUUUCCCACUCUCUUCUGCUUAUUACUUUCCAGCUCUACAAAUAUGGGAGCCGGGUGAUGCUAACGAGGAAACAAAGGGACUGCGCUCUGCUUCACGUGGGAUCCGUCUGAUUCCAGUGAAGUCCCUCAAUGCUGCACAACUACCUGUAUGCAGAAACAUCUUGGCUUCGAGUGAUACAGAUGCAAUUCCUUGAUGAAGUUGAUAAGACAGUAUAACCUUAACCUUGCUAUAACUUAGCCCAACUAUUUAAUCUCAACGUGGAGAAAAUGGAUACCCAAGUAGAUGAAGCGACUAUUUGGAUUACACUAAUAGUCACAGAAUCCAGGCCUUUUGACUAAUAAUUUAAUAAUUUUGGCUAAUAAUGUGACUAAUAAUCUACAUUUUCCAACGCUCCCUGCUGCUUCCCAAGGGGCAGCAUUUUUCUCCAGGAUUCCCAAACACCGAGGUGGUAUUUUGAAGCUGCACUGUACUACACAUCUUCCAUAGGAAUAGAUACAUCAGAGAGAAAGUUCCAAGAUGGAAUUUCAGCUUUCACGCUAAAUUUCCUGACUCUUGAUGCUUUAAAACAGACCGUGGGGGUACAAUUUCAGAAUGAUCUGGUGAGAGACUCAUUAACAUUAAUGGGAGUCAGGUGGUCACAUUCUCAAACAGGGCCUGAAAUUCUCCAAGUUAUACCAUCUUCUAGACCCAUAUAUGUCUUUAACUUAUCACCAUUAAUAGAAGUGACAGAUGUCUUUUGUAAAAUGCUUUUCCUUAGUUAUUUUUCACAGAUAUUUCUAAACAAGCAUAUUUAUAAAAUAUAAUUUUCACUUAAGGGAUAAUUAUACAUAAAUCUAUUUCCUUGUAAUUAAAAAAUAAUUAUACAUAAAUCCUGUUUCCUUGUAAUGUCUACCUUGUCUCCCAGCCAUCUCAUUUCCAACGGGAAGGGUCUGACCUUAUACAAUACUUUAGAAGUAUUUCAGGUGUCAUGUAGGGAAACUAAACUCUAUAGCCUCAUCAUUCAGACAGCAGACACCAUUUAGGAAAUAUUAGGAAUUGCAAAGAAGCUAAAUUUUUAAAAGAAGGCUUCUUGCAUUUUGUUUCAUCAAGAACCUUAGUGAAAUUUCAAAAGCAAUGGGGUUUACAAUCACAAGGCUCUGGAUAACCAUUUGGUGAUAAAUUGCAGGUAUUCUAAUUUGGAGGAAGCUCUUCUUUCCCAGACAACUCUGUCUCAUCUUAACAUUAGCACUAGUCUGAAGGUGUAUAGUUUCUGAAAGGCAUGGACUACGGCCUUUUUCUUUCAAACUUUGUAUUCAAAUGCUUAGCACUUGAGACUAUAAACCUAGUAUUUAUAAAUCGGUAACUUGUUGCUUUAUUAAUUGGUGAGAAUGUCCACAAAAGUGUGAAUUUGUA